CUACGGAGGGUGCAAGCGUUAUCCGGAAUCAUUGGGUUUAAAGGGUCCGUAGGCGGACUAAUAAGUCAGGGGUGAAAUCCCACAGCUUAACUGUGGAACUGCCUUUGAUACUGUUAGUCUUGAGUUAUAUGGAAGUAGAUAGAAUGUGUAGUGUAGCGGUGAAAUGCUUAGAGAUUACACAGAAUACCGAUUGCGAAGGCAGUCUACUACAUAUAUACUGACGCUAAUGGACGAAAGCGUGGGGAGCGAACAGGAUUAGAUACCCUAGUAGUCC
rnacentral:rRNA from 1 species